AAGGAAGUAAAAGUCGUAACAAGGUUUUCCCAGAUCCUUCUGAAGCCUUUAACGCAACGACUAUAACCAUGUGUUGAGUCCACUCCCUGUGGUGGGCGACGUCACCUCUGUGCUGGAAUCCCCUCUGGUGAGAUCAGCAGCCGAACCUGUCCACGUUCGGUCCACAGAUUAGAUGGUGGCGGUCAGCGGUCGAUGCCUGCGGGUACGCCCUGAUCCAGGUAUAAUCGGUCUCCAUGGCCUCUCAUGGAUGAGCAACGUUCCGUAGGUGAACCUGCGGAAGGAUCAUUA
rnacentral:rRNA from 1 species